rnacentral:rRNA from 1 species
AUUAGAUACCCCGGUAGUCCUGCUUACUGACUCUUACACCAAGUAUCUCGUAUGCCGUCUUCUGCUUGAAAAAAAAAACUGGGCUUAACCCAGGAAGUGCAUUUGAAACUAUUCAGCUUGAGUAGGGGAGAGGAAAGUGGAAUUCCUGGUGUAGAGGUGAAAUUCGUAAAUAUCAGGAGGAACAUCUGUUGAAAAGGCCACCUACUAGCCAUAUACUCACUAUGGUACGCGAGAGCCUGCAUCCCAGAUAG